GGAUUCCUACGGGAGGCAGCAGUGAGGAAUAUUGGUCAAUGGGCGGGAGCCUGAACCAGCCAAGCCGCGUGAAGGAUGAAGAUCUUCGGAUCGUAAACCUCUGUCAGCAGGGAAGAACGGUCACUGUGCUAAUCAGCAGUGAAUUGACGGUACCUGCAAAGGAAGCACCGGCUAACUCCGUGCCAGCAGCCGCGGUAAUACGGAGGGUGCGAGCGUUAAUCGGAAUUACUGGGCGUAAAGCGCUCGUAGGCGGUAUGUCAAGUCAAGGGUGAAAUCCCCGCGCUCAACGUGGGAACUGCCUUUGA
rnacentral:rRNA from 1 species